UUGUCUCAAAGAUUAAGCCAUGCAUGUCUCAGUACAAGCCAAAUUAAGGUGAAACCGCGAAAGGCUCAUUAAAUCAGUUAUGGUUCCUUAGAUCGUACUCACAUUUACUUGGAUAACUGUGGUAAUUCUAGAGCUAAUACAUGCAAACAGAGCUCCGACCGGAAACGGAAGGAGCGCUUUUAUUAGAUCAAAACCAAUCGGUGGCGGUUCUCCGUCAUCGUACAACUUGGUGACUCUGAAUAACUUUACGCUGAUCGCACGGUCUUGCACCGGCGACGCAUCUUUCAAAUGUCUGCCUUAUCAACUGUCGAUGGUAGGUUCUGCGCCUACCAUGGUUGUAACGGGUAACGGGGAAUCAGGGUUCGAUUCCGGAGAGGGAGCCUGAGAAACGGCUACCACAUCCAAGGAAGGCAGCAGGCGCGCAAAUUACCCACUCCCGGCACGGGGAGGUAGUGACGAAAAAUAACGAUACGGGACUCAUCCGAGGCCCCGUAAUCGGAAUGAGUACACUCUAAACCCUUUAACGAGGAUCAAUUGGAGGG
rnacentral:rRNA from 1 species